rnacentral:lncRNA from 1 species
AAGCUAGGGCCUUAGAAGUGAAUAAGUCCUGUUAUGAUGGAAGGAGAUUCUGAUAACAGCAGCUAAGUUUUGGGGCUGGCCUAAGUGUACGGAUUCUAAGCCCGGCAGCCUCCCCACAGGAGCAAGGAGGGUGCUGUUGGGGCCCCAUGGGCUAGGAAGCCCUCCUUUGCAACCAGUGACACUUAUGUGGUACUUAGCCCCAACCCAUGUCCUGUGUGUUUCACUUCUUGGAGACUUGGUUUCCCCAUCUUGGAACCAACAUUUCC